GACGAACGCUGGCGGCGUGCUUAACACAUGCAAGUCGAACGGAAAGGCCUCUUUCGGGGGGUACUCGAGUGGCGAACGGGUGAGUAACACGUGAGUAACCUGCCCUUGACUUUGGGAUAACUUCAGGAAACUGGGGCUAAUACCGGAUAGGUGCUCCUGCUGCAUGGUUGGGGUUGGAAAGUUUCGGCGGUUGGGGAUGGACUCGCGGCUUAUCAGCUUGUUGGUGGGGUAGUGGCUUACCAAGGCUUUGACGGGGAGCCGGCCUGAGAGGGUGACCGGCCACAUUGGGACUGAGAUACGGCCCAGACUCCUACGGGAGGCAGCAGUGGGGAAUAUUGCACAAUGGGUGGAAGCCUGAUGCAGCAACGCCGUGUGCGGGAUGACGGCCUUCGGGUUGUAAACCGCUUUCGCUCAUGACGAAGCUUUGUGUGACGGUAGUGGGUAAAGAAGCACCGGCUAACUACGUG
rnacentral:rRNA from 1 species